GCCCGACAUUGUCAUUCUGGCGACUCCCGGAAAGUUCGAGAGAAGAUCAGAGCAAACGGUUUCAUGUCCGAGCAUCCUCCCGAAACUUCUUUCAUCUCCUUAUAAAUACGCAUCCAAUCUUUCGCUCCAUUCAUCAAUUCAGUGAAGCAAAUAAUCACACUUUCCAAUACUCAAACUUUCCAAUCAAGUCUAAUCAAUCACAAUGUCGCUCAUCCCAAGUUUCCGACGAAGCAGCAUCUUCGACCUCGAUCCCUGGGACCCAUUCAGGGAUUUCCAAUUCCCUUCCUCAUCGCUUUCUACAUUCCCUCGCGAAAACUCGGCCUUUGUAAACACCAGGAUCGACUGGAAAGAGACCCCAGAAGCCCAUGUGUUCAAAGCUGACAUUCCGGGGCUGAAGAAAGAAGAGGUGAAGGUUGAGAUUGGCACCGGGUCGAGAGAAGCAGUGGCAAGUUCUCCAGGCGAUUCAGGCUUCCUGAGAAUGCCAAGGUUGAUGAGAUUAAGGCUGCAAUGGAGAAUGGGGUUCUGAGUGUCACUAUUCCUAAGGUGGAGGUGAAGAAACCUGAUGUCAAACCCAUUGAAAUUUCUGGUUAAACCAAAAAUUUAACAUCAUCUUUCUGGGUUUGUCUCUCUCGUCCUAUCCAUAUAUGAUUGUCAACAAUCUGUAACCGUGUGAGUUUUGUCUGUGUCAAUGUGUCAUGUAACAUUAUAGAUUCGGAACUUGUAAUCUGAUAUCAUUUACUAGUGUGUUUCGCGUUGUAUUAUAUGAAUGUGCUCUGUUUUUCCCCUGCACUGUAAUGAAACUUAAUAUCCAAUCGCCUGAAAUUUGUUGGCCAU